UCCUCCCUCUUCUUUUCAGUUGUAAAAGUUUUUUCUACUUCUUGGUCUCUUCUUACGGUACAUAAACUACGCGCUUCAGACUUGAAACUUGUUGAGGUAUUCAAGAGGGCCACUUUGAACUACUCUGAACUGGAUAUCUUCGUUCAUAAUAACACAAAAAUGGAGAUGACUUUCAACAAUUGAAAACAGGUGGAAGUUUUUUUUUGGCGAGAAUAUAUCAUCAGCAUUGUUAUUCCUGUUGGACAUCAAGAAAAAUGUGGGGAGUAUUAUAAACACAACUGUUCUUUCUUUGGGACAGUGAAAACAUGUCAAAAACGUUGAGUAAAACUCGUAAAAUAGCAAUCAUAUUUAGUUUUUUCAAAUAUAACAUAAAAA